rnacentral:tRNA from 1 species
CCUACUCUCAGCUCAGCUGGUAAAGAAUCUGCCUGCAAUGCAGGAGACCUGGGUUCAAUCCCUGGGUUGGGA